UACAGAGGGUGCAAGCGUUGUUCGGAUUUACUGGGCGUAAAGAGCGCGCAGGCGGUCGUUCAAGUCGCGUGUGAAAGCCCCCGGCUCAACUGGGGAGGGUCACGCGAUACUGAUCGACUCGAAGGCAGGAGAGGGUAGUGGAAUUCCCGGUGUAGUGGUGAAAUGCGUAGAUAUCGGGAGGAACACCAGUGGCGAAGGCGACUACCUGGCCUGUUCUUGACGCUGAGGCGCGAAAGCUAGGGGAGCAAACGGG
rnacentral:rRNA from 1 species